rnacentral:piRNA from 1 species
UCUCAUUCGGAAUUACGGUGCUGAAGG